UACAGAGGGGGCAAGCGUUGUUCGGAAUUACUGGGCGUAAAGGGCGCGUAGGCGGCCUGCUAAGUCGAACGUGAAAUCCCCGGGCUCAACCCGGGAACUGCGUCCGAUACUGGCAGGCUUGAAUUCGGGAGAGGGAUGCGGAAUUCCAGGUGUAGCGGUGAAAUGCGUAGAUAUCUGGAGGAACACCGGUGGCGAAAGCGGCUCACUGGCCCGGUUCUGACGCUGAGGCGCGAAAGCGUGGGGAGCAAACAGG
rnacentral:rRNA from 1 species